rnacentral:rRNA from 1 species
GCGCAGCAGGCGCGAAUACUUUACAAUGUGCGAAAGCACGAUAAGGGAACUCUGAGUGCCUCCUAAGGAGGCUGUUCUGAUGUCUAAAAGCAACAGAAGUAAGGGCUGGGUAAGACCGGUGCCAGCCGCCGCGGUAACACCGGCAGCCCAAGUGGUAGCCACGUUUAUUGGGUCUAAAGCGUUCGUAGCCGGCCAGGUAAGUUCCUUGGUAAAUUUAGCCGCUUAACGGUUAAGCUUUCGGGGAAUACUGCUUGGCUUGGGACUGGGAGAGGUCAGAGGUACUCCGGGGGUAGGGGUGAAAUCUAUUAAUCCCUGGGGGACCACCGGUAGCGAAGGCGUCUGACCAGACCAGGUCCGACGGUGAGGGACGAAGGCUAGGGGCGCGAACCGGAUUAGAUACCCCUGUAGU